GAUGAACGCUGGCGGCGUGCCUAAUACAUGCAAGUCGAGCGAACAGACGAGGAGCUUGCUCCUCUGACGUUAGCGGCGGACGGGUGAGUAACACGUGGAUAACCUACCUAUAAGACUGGGAUAACUUCGGGAAACCGGAGCUAAUACCGGAUAAUAUAUUGAACCGCAUGGUUCAAUAGUGAAAGACGGUUUUGCUGUCACUUAUAGAUGGAUCCGCGCCGCAUUAGCUAGUUGGUAAGGUAACGGCUUACCAAGGCAACGAUGCGUAGCCGACCUGAGAGGGUGAUCGGCCACACUGGAACUGAGACACGGUCCAGACUCCUACGGGAGGCAGCAGUAGGGAAUCUUCCGCAAUGGGCGAAAGCCUGACGGAGCAACGCCGCGUGAGUGAUGAAGGUCUUCGGAGCGUAAAGCUCUGUUAUUAGGGAAGAACAAAUGUGUAAGGAACUGUGCACGUAUUGACGGUACCGAAUCAGAAAGCCACGGCUAACUACGUG
rnacentral:rRNA from 1 species